CUUUUAAGCAGGCAUUUUCUUAUCCUUAAAACCUCUUUGAAAACCUAUAUAAAUGAAUAUUUGUGUGUUUAGAGUGUGAUUGGAGCCCACCUGUAUAUAGUAACUUGGCAAGAAAAGUCCUUGUUAAGGAAGUUACAGAAAACACAAUGGUCACUUCAGCUUACAUACUUAGUAGGCACAACAUGAUGAUUUGAUUUUUAUGCAGACGAUACACAGUUAUAUUUUCUGUAAAUAUACCUUUUCUUGGAGUUUUGCUGUACUAAAAGAUUGCAGUGAGAACGGAAAGCAUUUGAUAUUAUUUGAGAGUAUUUGAAACUCUGACAACUUAUUCUGGCUUAAUGCGAGUAGGACAGAAAUAAUUAAAUUUAACUUAAACUUAAUUGUAAGCCUUCUCACAGACUCAAAGUCACCUUCAUAUACUUUGAUUCAAAUCUGACCUGAAAAACAAGAGUAACUUGUCUAAGUCAUUCUUGUUUUUGUAAGUCUGGGACCAUACCUAAAAUCAAACCUCUUUUGUCUGCUGCUCACCUGGAAAAGCUUGACCGCUGUUCAAUAUUUGUCAAAUGCUACAUAAAUAACGUUAAUGUGUGUUAUUAAUUGAUUAUUGUCGUUUCUCUUUAGCAAUUGUGGUAACCUGAAUUUCUCAUGGCGUAAUGAGUGCAACCAGUGCAAGGCUCCUAAACCUGCAGAUGCUGGUGGAAUGCCCCCAGCGGAAAGAGGAGGUUAUGGAGGAGAACGCCGAGGAGGGUUUGAUCGGGGUGGCUUCAGGGGCCGAGGUGGUGACCGUGGGGGCUUCAGGGGAGGCCGGGGAGGUGACAGGGGAGGAUAUGGUCCUGGCAAGAUGGACGCAAGGUAAGAUUAAUUUAGAUCAGGGGUGUCAAACGUACGGCCCAUGGGGCCCCAAGGGGUUCAGUCCGCGGGAUAAAUCUGAAAGUGAAAAAAUGCAAUGAGACAUGAAGUAGGAUUUCUGAAAAAUAAACUACUCCUAAAUUGUUCGCUAGGGGCGCUAGGGUGUUUUAGACAUGGAGUAGCUGAAAGAAGAAGAAGAAAAAGACUAAACAAUUCUGAGAUAGACACAGCUAAUGUUCAGUGAUUACUACGAUACACCUACUUACUACAUUUACUUACUUUUGUACUCGUCUUCGCACCCUCAUUAGCCAAAAUGUCUUUCUCAAAAAGGAGAAAACUUCACUACAAAAGAGCUUACUUUCUUCAUAACGUGUUUUGUAAUAGGAUAGUUCAUUAAAUAAAAAUAAUAUCCUAAUGUAAUUGUACUUCUUUCCACUAAAACAAAGGGGAAAACAUGAAUUUAUUGUUAUUUAUAGCUAUGAUGAGCUUUACCUCGAUUUUAAUGGUCCGGCCCACUUGACAUCAAAUUAUACUGUAUGUGGCCCCUGAACUAAAAUGAGUUUGACACCCCUGAUUUAGAUUAUCUGGUGAAAAAUGAUAUUGGUGUCAAACUGGUUUGAAACUUCAUUUAUUUCAAACCAAACAGUGACUUUCAAAAAGCCUCCUUCACUUAUUGCAGAGCUUACUGUGUAAUAUACUUUCUUUCUUGUUAUGAUGAAUGAAUUUGCUGAAGAUUCUAAACACAUUUGCUCUAUUGUUUCUUAUUUUUCAUUUUAAUAUUUUCCGAAUAAUAUGAACACAAUAAAGUGAGAAAAAGUUUAAACAAUCUAAAUACCUCUUAAAGUCAUUUAACAGUUUUUUCAAGAUAAUUAAAAUAUUCAGCAUACAACGUAUACAUAUUUGACAGUAAUACUAAGCCUGUGGUUCUUAUUCCUAUGUCAGUCUUCAAUUUCACUGCGGUACUGCUGAGCCUGAAGCAUACCAGAAUGCACUUUUCAUUCAAAAACAGCAGCUGUGAGUCAUUCUUUAGUCCUAUGGGAUGUAAGGCUGCAGUUUAAGCUAGAAUUGAAAUACAUGCAGAUUUCUUUCGAUUUUUUGGUCUGAGAAGGUGGAAUUUAAGUGGAGCAAGAUGCACUGAGCAAUAAUGAGCAGCCUGGCUUGGCUUUUGCCAGGGGAACCGGUGAAGGUGACUAGCACUGAAAGUGAAGAGUAGAAAUUCUCACUGCUCUACUCCACUCGUGCUCACCUUAUGUAUUGACACAUUGGCCAUUAGCUGGAUACUAGUGAUGUAAUUUUAUUUAUUUACUUUCUAGGGGUGACCGCAGACAGGAGCGACGGGGGCGUCCUUAUUAAAUCAAGCUGCAAGGAAAAACCAGUGUGUGUAACCCUGUCCAUACUGGGCUCACAUGUUCACCUUUUUAUAAAUCUGUGGUACCUUUUGAUCUAUGAUUCAGCCUGUAGAAAUAUGUGACUAUUACUACUACUGCUGCUACUUUUUUGUGUUUGCUUUUGUUCCUGUCACUUAUUUCCUUAACAUCCAUCCACACUGUCUUCUUGUUCUCAGUAGGGCCUCAAUCACAAAAAAAUCUCAGAAUUAAUUCCCAUCUGUUACUUUUUAUGACUUGAUACUGUUUUGUUCACUUGGAUAUGAUAUGUCACUUACCAGCAACAUUAGUGGGAACAGUCGAGACAAAUUCCAAACAAGUUAGGAUGAAUCUGUUUCUGCUAAAUUUUGUUAGCCGGCUUGAAUGAAGUACAUCUUUAACACUUGAUUGUUCACAUUCAAAUGAAACAUUUACUCAUUAACCACAUAAACGCAUUGAAAUAAAUAUAGAUUAUCUCACUCUUGGCAGAAUGAGCUGGCCUUCAUGUUUUAAGUGAAAACAGUCACUGUCCAAACUGACACCAAACUGUCACUGUAUAGCUUGUGUUUUUACUAUUUUGAGACUCUUUUGUAAAUUUGUGUCUUCAAAUGUAAGCAAUGAAGUUAGUAAGUUAAGUGUUAAACUACAAUAAUAACUCAAUUUCUACAGAACUUUUCUAAACAGUGUUACAAAGUGCUUAAGAGUCAAAUAAAGUCAAAUUGCAGUAUUAAAUUAGAGAAUCAUUGUACCUCAAUAAAUGUAAUAAGAAAAUGAUUGACAGCAUGAGGUAUAAGAUUAACCCAGUAAUACCAAGUUUAAAUGAAAGAACAGUGAGAUUUAGAAAGUGAUUUAUAAGAACUUACAGAGACAAUUCCAAAGCUGAAUUUGAUCUGAUUUCCUAAAGUUCGAAACCUCACAGCAACGUUUUGAAUAUGCUUAUGAUAAGCAAGAGUGUUAAGAGAGUUCCAGUGACAAGUAAGAGGAAAUGAGGAAUGACCAAGUUGAGCUGCCACAUGUGACCUUCACUGCUGGUAAUUCAUUUCACAAGAUCCAUUUAUUUACUUUAUACUUAAGUCUUAGAAUGUCAUGGGGAAAUAAUCUGAAGGUUGUGAUCAAGUUAAAUCCACUUUUCUAAAUGAGGUCUAAUAUCUCUGCAAAAUUUAAAAAAUUUGUAAAGACUGACACUGAACUUUAGAUGAUGUAUUAUUUAUGAGUUGUUUUUGUAUUUUGCAUGUGCUGGUUUUCAAAUGAACGUGUUGUUAAAAC
rnacentral:lncRNA from 1 species